rnacentral:rRNA from 1 species
AUAUUGCACAAUGGGCGCAAGCCUGAUGCAGCCAUGCCGCGUGUGUGAAGAAGGCCUUCGGGUUGUAAAGCACUUUCAGCGGGGAGGAAGGCGAUAAGGUUAAUAACCUUGUCGAUUGACGUUACCCGCAGAAGAAGCACCGGCUAACUCCGUGCCAGCAGCCGCGGUAAUACGGAGGGUGCAAGCGUUAAUCGGAAUUACUGGGCGUAAAGCGCACGCAGG